rnacentral:rRNA from 1 species
CGAAGCUACGGCAUCAGUAAUGAUGGGUAGGGGAGCUUCCCAUACGGGUUGAAGCAUGACCGUAAGGACAUGUGGACAGUAUGGGAGUGAGAAUGUUGGCAUGAGUAGCGAGAUGUGGGUGAGAAUCCCACAGGCCGUAAACCCAAGGUUUCCAGGGGAAGGUUCGUCCGCCCUGGGUUAGUCGGGACCUAAGCUGAGGCCGAAAGGCGUAGGUGAUGGACAACAGGUUGAUAUUCCUGUACUACCGAUAACCGUUUGAGAGAAGGGAUGACACAGUAGGAUAAGCUAAGCACACUGUUGGUUAUGUGUGCCCAAGCAUUGAGGCAGUCAAAGUAGGCAAAUCCGCUUUGAUAAUGCUGGGAUGUGAUGGGGAGCGAAAUUUAGUAGCGAAGUAGCUGAUUUCACACUGUCAAGAAAAGU